AGUCGAGCGAAUGGAUUAAGAGCUUGCUCUUAUGAAGUUAGCGGCGGACGGGUGAGUAACACGUGGGUAACCUGCCCAUAAGACUGGGAUAACUCCGGGAAACCGGGGCUAAUACCGGAUAACAUUUUGAACUGCAUGGUUCGAAAUUGAAAGGCGGCUUCGGCUGUCACUUAUGGAUGGACCCGCGUCGCAUUAGCUAGUUGGUGAGGUAACGGCUCACCAAGGCAACGAUGCGUAGCCGACCUGAGAGGGUGAUCGGCCACACUGGGACUGAGACACGGCCCAGACUCCUACGGGAGGCAGCAGUAGGGAAUCUUCCGCAAUGGACGAAAGUCUGACGGAGCAACGCCGCGUGAGUGAUGAAGGCUUUCGGGUCGUAAAACUCUGUUGUUAGGGAAGAACAAGUGCUAGUUGAAUAAGCUGGCACCUUGACGGUACCUAACCAGAAAGCCACGGCUAACUACGUGCCAGCAGCCGCGGUAAUACGUAGGUGGCAAGCGUUAUCCGGAAUUAUUGGGCGUAAAGCGCGCGCAGGUGGUUUCUUAAGUCUGAUGUGAAAGCCCACGGCUCAACCGUGGAGGGUCAUUGGAAACUGGGAGACUUGAGUGCAGAAGAGGAAAGUGGAAUUCCAUGUG
rnacentral:rRNA from 1 species